UAUUUCUUAUACCAUGAAAUUAAUAGAAGAACAUUGAGGAGGUCUUGCCCGUAGGCGUAGGCCAAUAAUUAGGUCGAACCACAUUAUAUCUGGUGUGCUUUCUUUUCUCUUAUUUUAUCACUUUAUUAUCUUCCUUUUAUUUUGUAUUCUAUGUUUGUUCAAGUUAUUUUUCCUCUACAAAAUGAUCUUGUUUCCACUGUGCUUGUGUGCCAUGUGGGUUGAGGUGUGUUCAGUUAUCCCUCGGC
rnacentral:lncRNA from 1 species